rnacentral:tRNA from 1 species
GACUCUAUGGCUUAAUGGAUAAAGUGUUGGUCUAUGAACCAGAGAUUAUGUGUUCGAUCCUUAGUGGGGUCC